rnacentral:lncRNA from 1 species
ACAAUACUGCUCUCUUGAAGUUGACUUACCAUGGCUUGUGAGACAUCGCCUGGCUAUCCUAUUCACUUUUUCAGUAGCCGUGGUGAUUGUUGUGCAGGUAGGAGUUUUGUAUAUGGCGAUAUCACUGAUGGUUAAAUGCCUGCGCAAAUGCAAGGUUGAUUGAGGUUUUUGUGAUGAGAAGAGAUCUGCUUGGCUUGGUAACACGCCUGCUAGUUAAAAGUGAUAUUAUUUUCUUGUGAAAUGUAUUUUCAGAUUAAGGAAGUGUAUAUGUUGAUGGUAAACUUUUGUUUG